AAAGAUUAGGCAGCCUGUAUUCAAUUGAAAUUGGUCACGAUGGGAAAGGAUUCGCAAGUGACUGGUUUCUGGAAAAAGUGGAAAUCACAGAAGCAUCUAGAAAUUCAGUGUAUUGCUUCUACUGUAACAGGUGGCUUUCUGAAGAUGAAAGUGAUGGCCUCACCACAGUGCAACUUUAUCCAUAGCAGCUUGAUUUCUGAUUCUUUCUGAGUGUGUUGCUUCUCCAAAUUCAAGCUGAUUUGAUUUGAUUGUAUUUUAUAAUUCUGAAGGUAUUGUAAUUUUUGUGCAGAAAUGUCAAAACAAUGAGUUAAAAACAUCACAGUAAAUUAAAUGUGUCUAAUGUGAACACAGAAGUGUGAUCCUAUUAGAAAUGCUCGAAAACUUUGCAUGACCGAAAUUUCGAUAUCAGAAAUUUAAAUAUGUAACAUGGUUUGUGGACUUGAUCUGAGCAAUCAUAAUG